rnacentral:rRNA from 1 species
AGGAGAGUUUGAUCCUGGCUCAGGAUGAACGCUAGCUACAGGCUUAACACAUGCAAGUCGAGGGGCAGCAUGGGAGUUGCUUGCAAUUCCCGAUGGCGACCGGCGCACGGGUGAGUAACGCGUAUCCAACCUUCCCGUCACUCAGGGAUAGCCCGCCGAAAGGCGAAUUAAUACCUGAUGAUCUCCUUUGCGGACAUCUAAUGAGGAGUAAAGGUUUUUCCGGUGACGGAUGGGGAUGCGUCUGAUUAGGUUGUUGGCGGGGUAACGGCCCACCAAGCCAUCGAUCAGUAGGGGUUCUGAGAGGAAGGUCCCCCACAUUGGAACUGAGACACGGUCCAAACUCCUACGGGAGGCAGCAGUGAGGAAUAUUGGUCAAUGGGCGAGAGCCUGAACCAGCCAAGUAGCGUGGAGGAUGACGGCCCUACGGGUUGUAAACUCCUUUUAUCAGGGGAUAAAGUCCACUACGUGUAGUGGUUUGCAGGUACCUGAUGAAUAAGGACCGGCUAAUUCCGUGCCAGCAGCCGCGGUAAUACGGAAGGUCCGGGCGUUAUCCGGAUUUAUUGGGUUUAAAGGGAGCGCAGACGGGCUGUUAAGCGUGACGUGAAAUCCGGGGGCUCAACCUUCGGCUGCGUCGCGAACUGGCGGCCUUGAGUGGACGGUAGGCAGGCGGAAUUCGUGGUGUAGCGGUGAAAUGCUUAGAUAUCACGAAGAACCCCGAUUGCGAAGGCAGCUUGCCGCAGUCUUACUGACGUUCAUGCUCGAAGGUGCGGGUAUCGAACAGGAUUAGAUACCCUGGUAGUCCCCU